CUAGGAACAGGGACCGCCUGGAGACACAGCACUGAGGCUGGGAACGGGGAGGCAGGCGCUGCCUGAGACUAACCCUCCCUCCUUGUCACCAGUGAUGGAAGGCCACGGGGAAGUGAAUAUUAAGCAUUAUCUAAACUGCAGUCACUGUGAGGUAGACGAAUGUCACAUGGACCCCGAAAGCCACAAGGUCAUCUGCUUCUGUGACCACGGGACGGUGCUGGCGGAGGAUGGUGUCUCCUGCAUUGUGUCGCCCACCCCGGAGCCACACCUGCCGCUCUCGCUGAUUCUGUCUGUGGUGACCUCUGCCCUGGUGGCCGCCCUGGUCCUGGCUUUCUCCGG
rnacentral:lncRNA from 1 species